rnacentral:rRNA from 1 species
AAAAGUUGGGGAGACCUGACGCUGAAAGAUGGACUCGCGUCCCAUUAGCUAGUUGGUAGGGUAAUGGCCUACCAAGGCGACGAUGGGUAGCCGGCCUGAGAGGGUGGCCGGCCACACUGGGACUGAGACACGGCCCAGACUCCUACGGGAGGCAGCAGUGGGGAAUUUUGCGCAAUGCUCGUAAGAGUGACGCAGCGACGCCGCGUGAAUGACGAAGGCCUUCGGGUCGUAAAGUUCUUUCGACAGGGAAGAAAAUGCCUAUAAGUAACUGUGUAUGUAUUGACGGUACCUGUAUAAGCAGCCCCGGCUAACUCCGUGCCAGCAGCCGCGGUAAUACGGAGGGGGCGAGCGUUGUUCGGAGUGACUGGGCGUAAAGAGCACGUAGGCGGUGUUGUAAGUCAUUAGUCAAAGACUAGAGCUCAACUUUAGUAAGGCUAGUGAUACUAUAAUACUAGAGUAUCAGAGAGGAUUGCAGAAUUCCUGGUGUAGCGGUGAAAUGCGUAGAUAUCAGGAGGAAUACCGUUAGCGAAGGCGGCAAUCUGGCUGGAAACUGACGCUGAGGUGCGAAAGCGUGGGUAGCAAACAGGAUUAGAUACCCUGGUAGUCCACGC